UGUAAUACUCUAUAAUUGCGAGGCUGCAGCCUCAGCCCGACUCUUUUUAAUAUCUAUAUUAACGAACUGGCAUCAGCACUUGAUAAGUC